rnacentral:rRNA from 1 species
AGAUUGAACGCUGGCGGCAUGCCUUACACAUGCAAGUCGAACGGCAGCACGGGAGCAAUCCUGGUGGCGAGUGGCGAACGGGUGAGUAAUAUAUCGGAACGUGCCCAGUAAUGGGGGAUAGCCCGGCGAAAGCCGGAUUAAUACCGCAUACGACCUACGGGUGAAAGCGGGGGAUCGCAAGACCUCGCGUUAUUGGAGCGGCCGAUAUCAGAUUAGCUUGUUGGCGGGGUAAAAGCCCACCAAGGCAACGAUCUGUAGCUGGUCUGAGAGGACGACCAGCCACACUGGGACUGAGACACGGCCCAGACUCCUACGGGAGGCAGCAGUGGGGAAUUUUGGACAAUGGGCGCAAGCCUGAUCCAGCCAUGCCGCGUGUGGGAAGAAGGCCUUCGGUUGUAACCACUUUUGUCGAGGAAGAAACGGCCUCUACUAACUAUUAGAGCUAAUGACGGUACUGAAGAAUAAGACACCGACUAACUACGUGCCAGCAGCCG